CUUGGUUUGCUUCUCUUGAAUUAAAUUUUAACAUGUAUGACCGUCCAUUGUUUGGUGGUCCUUUAUAUUAACUCAUCACUAAACUCCUAGUUGGUGUCUUGGUGUGUCUCUAGAAUUUGUUUGGCCUCCUUCCUACGUUGAUCAAUUGGGAUGUGAAUGGAGGCACACUCAUGUGUCCGCAAUUAUAUGUGCAUACAUGGGUACCUAGUGUGCAGGAUUGAACAGGUGAUGAUUCUCAUGACGUGACAACACCUGUUUGACUAGCAACGAUAAUUCCCACAUUGUCUCCAACUAUACAUAUAUGGAGUAAUGGCACUUCCAUCACCCCUCAUCUUUGUUGCCUCACUGCCUCUCCCCCCAUCAAAGUGAUAUAUUAUCAAAGGCUCCACUUUUCCUUCCCUUACUCUAACUAAUCUACAACACUUCUAAUGACACGUCAAGCCUUGUCACUGCAGAGCCCGAACAGGCUAGAUGAACCAGGAAGUUCUUGGUCUUUGACGUGUAGUUAGAUCAUUACGCACACCAGCCUCUAGCGGAGAUGACGACCAAUGGACAAGCAGUCGGCAUCGUGUGAAGCCUUUAUGGUCGAGUGGGAGGAGGACAAGCGUCCAUAGGUGGAAGCUCGUCAAUGCAAUGACACAAUCCCCAGCCUCGAAAAA
rnacentral:lncRNA from 1 species